GCAUUUCAGGAAUCAGCUAGAGGAAAAACAGACAGCAUGUGAUCAUAUUACAGAGGGACUCUGCGAUUCUCAGCAUCUCUGAGGGAUGUUUGUAGUUUAAUAAAUAUUGAGGGAGAUGUAAAACCUAUGCACAUUCUUAAGUACAUAAAUAUGUACAUACAUGUACACAAAUAUAUCUGUGUAUUAAAGUUUCUGAAUCAAAGUUUUCUUCAUAAAAAGGUGAGGACCAGCCUGCCUCAUGUCAAGAAAGAUUAGACCUCAUCAUACUUCUUGUUUGUGUCCUUUACCAGUUGCU
rnacentral:lncRNA from 1 species